rnacentral:rRNA from 1 species
AUCGAACGCUGGCGGCAGGCCUAACACAUGCAAGUCGAACGAGUGGCGGACGGGUGAGUAAUGUCUGGGAAACUGCCUGAUGGAGGGGGAUAACUACUGGAAACGGUAGCUAAUACCGCAUACCAUCAGAUGUGCCCAGAUGGGAUUAGCUUGUUGGUGGGGUGACGGCUCACCAAGGCGACGAUCCCUAGCUGGUCUGAGAGGAUGAUCGGCCACACUGGAACUGAGACACGGUCCAGAAACCUAAGGGAGGCAGCAGUGGGGAAUAUUGCAAAAUGGGCGCAAGCCUGAUGCAGCCAUGCCGCGUGUAUGGAGGAGGCCUGCGGGUUGGAAAGUACUGUCAGCGGGGAGGCGUUACCCGCAGAAGAAGCCCCGGCUAACGCCGUGCCAGCAGCCGCGGUAAUAC